ACUUGAGAGUGGGUCGCCCAGCCAGCACAUGAUCAACAAUUAUUCUUCGUGGUAUUUUUCUUCACUGCAUCCAUCUAUUGAGGGCUGCGUUGUACUGGAAAU
rnacentral:lncRNA from 1 species